GACGUGAGGGCAGCGAGCGUUGUCCGGAUUUGAUUAGGGCGUAAAGAGCUCGGUAGGCGGCUUGUUGCGUCAGCUAGUGAAAACCCGCAGCUCAACUGUGGGACUUGCAGCUGAUACGGGCAGGCUUGAGUUCGGUAGGGGAGACGUAGGAAUUCCUGGAUGUAGCGGUGAAAUGCGCAGGAUAUCAGGAGGAACACCGGUGGCGAAGCGGGUCUCUAGGGCCGAUACUGACGUGAGGAGCGAAAGCGUCGGGGAGCGA
rnacentral:rRNA from 1 species